rnacentral:rRNA from 1 species
CUCUUCGGGGAUGAUUAAACCGGCGCACGGGUGAGUAACACGUGAGUGACCUGCCUUUUAGACUGGAACAACUUACCGAAAGGUGAGCUAAUGCCGGAUGAGUUAUAUAAGUGCAUGUUUAUAUAGGAAAAGUUGGGGAGACCUGACGCUGAAAGAUGGACUCGCGUCCCAUUAGCUAGUUGGUAGGGUAAUGGCCUACCAAGGCGACGAUGGGUAGCCGGCCUGAGAGGGUGGCCGGCCACACUGGGACUGAGACACGGCCCAGACUCCUACGGGAGGCAGCAGUGGGGAAUUUUGCGCAAUGCUCGUAAGAGUGACGCAGCGACGCCGCGUGAAUGACGAAGGCCUUCGGGUCGUAAAGUUCUUUCGACAGGGAAGAAAAUGCCUAUAAGUAACUGUGUAUGUAUUGACGGUACCUGUAUAAGCAGCCCCGGCUAACUCCGUGCCAGCAGCCGCGGUAAUACGGAGGGGGCGAGCGUUGUUCGGAGUGACUGGGCGUAAAGAGCACGUAGGCGGUGUUGUAAGUCAUUAGUCAAAGACUAGAGCUCAACUUUAGUAAGGCUAGUGAUACUAUAAUACUAGAGUAUCAGAGAGGAUUGCAGAAUUCCUGGUGUAGCGGUGAAAUGCGUAGAUAUCAGGAGGAAUACCGUUAGCGAAGGCGGCAAUCUGGCUGGAAACUGACGCUGAGGUGCGAAAGCGUGGGUAGCAAACAGGAUUAGAUACCCUGGUAGUCCACGCUGUAAACGAUGGAUGCUAGGUGUUGGGCUUU